rnacentral:rRNA from 1 species
ACCCGCUGAACUUAAGCAUAUCAAUAAGCGGAGGAAAAGAAACUAACAAGGAUUCCCCUAGUAACUGCGAGUGAAGCGGGAAAAGCUCAAAUUUAAAAUCUGGUAGUCUUUGGCUGCCCGAGUUGUAAUCUAGAGAAGUGUUACCCGUGCUGGACCGUGUACAAGUCUCCUGGAAUGGAGCGUCAUAGAGGGUGAGAAUCCCGUCUCUGACACGGACUCGCAGUGCUUUUGUGGUGCGCUCUCGACGAGUCGAGUUGUUUGGGAAUGCAGCUCAAAAUGGGUGGUGAAUUCCAUCUAAAGCUAAAUAUUGGCGAGAGACCGAUAGCGAACAAGUACCGUGAGGGAAAGAUGAAAAGAACUUUGGAAAGAGAGUUAAACAGUACGUGAAAUAGUUGAAAGGGAAACGCUUGAAGUCAGUCGCGUUGUCCGGAAAUCAACCUUGGUUCUCCUGGGUGUACUUUCCGGUUAACGGGCCAGCAUCAGUUUCGAUCGGUGGAAAAAGUCCAAGGGAAUGUGGCAUCUUCGGAUGUGUUAUAGCCCUUGGUCGUAUGCGCCGGUUGGGACUGAGGAAUUCAGCACGCCGCAAGGCCGGGGUUCGCCCACGUUCGUGCUUAGGAUGCUGGCAUAAUGGCUUU